CCUACGGGAGGCAGCAGUGGGGAAUAUUGCGCAAUGGGCGAAAGCCUGACGCAGCGACGCCGCGUGAGUGAAGAAGUAAUUCGUUAUGUAAAGCUCUAUCAGCAGGGAAGAAAAUGACGGUACCUGAGUAAGAAGCCCCGGCUAACUACGUGCCAGCAGCCGCGGUAAUCCGUAGGGGGCAAGCGUUAUCCGGAUUUACUGGGUGUAAAGGGAGCGUAGACGGCAGUGCAAGUCUGGAGUGAAAGGCGGGGGCUCAACCCCCGGACUGCUCUGGAAACUGUACGGCUGGAGUGCAGGAGAGGUAAGUGGAAUUCCUAGUGUAGCGGUGAAAUGCGUAGAUAUUAGGAGGAACACCAGUUGCGAAGGCGGCUUACUGGACUGUAACUGACGUUGAGGCUCGAAAGCGUGGGGAGCAAACAGGAUUAGAUACCCCUGUAGUC
rnacentral:rRNA from 1 species